CUCAAUGCUUUUCUGCAGGAGGAAAUUUUGGAUGAAACUGAUGAAUAUGUUAACAUCCACAACAGCUUUUAUUGGCACGCUUGAGAAUUUGUGUGACGUAUACUGGACCAUCAGGAAUAACAAAGCGAUCCUGCAAAAAAUGAUUUACCACAAUCAGCAUAGGAAUCAAGUCAGACUGCUGGUUUUCAAUCAUAUUUCAGAUUUCCAACCAUAUUUCAGGUCUAAUUAAGUAAAUCGAAACAGAUGCAUUUCAUGGGAGUAUCAAUUCUGUUUAUGUGAUGGACCGUACAGGCCGUACCACCAAGCCACCUACUCACAUAGUCUAUCACAGAAGAAACAAGAGGGGACAACAUAUAACAGCAGACCUGCAGAACAACAGCCAUAACAAAGGGCAGCAAGAGGCAUAGGAAAUAGAGGAAGAAAGAAGAGAGCAGUAGUUAAGGAGUUUGUAGUACAAUUAAGAGACUUGUAACCUAAAGUUACUAACUUGGAGAAUAGUGGCCUCAAGCUACUGAUUUAUGUAUGAACCUUUAUCAAUUAAAUCAA